CACGUGCAUACUGGAUAACCCAGCACUGGCGAUUCAGGUGCCAGGCAGACCCCAGAGGUUCACUGGAAAAUUCUGCCCACUUUGUGGUGUGUUUGAAAACUCCUGGAAUAAAAUGCUGAGCCCUACACUCCCUCUGCAGUCCCUGGUCUGAAUUGAGAACCUUCGCAUGCCAGGUGAAACAUUUCGUCAAAUCUCAUACUUCACAAGUCGGCGAUCCACAAAUACUUUUAUUAGCUUCCUUGUGUGCAAGCCGCCAGAAGCUGUAUGUCAUUUUUUCUCCAUGAAACCAACAUUCAAAUCAACCGUAAGAACGACGACAGCAACAAUAAUAAUCAUUUCCAUGAAGUUAACCUGGUUAGUGUGUAGGUACAGGUUUUUCAAAUGCAAAUUACGAAAUAGAUCCAAGGAUAAAGAUAAGGCUCCAAACAUUAACAGCACCAGAUAUCGCUAUGCCUUCCUGUCAUACAGCCCAGGACGCUGACGGGGAACGCUGGAUGGGGGGUAGGUGGGGAGUUGGAGCAGAGAGAGGAACUUACAGCUGUGACGGGAAAGCCUCGUAGGUAUCCCUCAGUUCAAGAUGCUGGCUUUCUUACUGUUUCCUUUAGAGACUUAAGCUGGGCGCUAAGGCCUCAGAAUCUGAUGUAAAUGUUAAUAAUGUACAUGUAAUGUAAGUGUAAAUGUUAAUAACAAGGUCCCGACUAAAAGAAUACUAUUUAUUUUUGGGAGACCAUUGUCAGAUGUAACUGAUGCUAUAGUCAUUGUCCUUAUGCUGAAAACACCCAACAGGGUCCCUCUACUCAUGUCCCACCUCUGGGGUCUGAGGACCAUCUACUAAUUCAGAGGCACUUGGUGUGUGUCUUCAAAAUGCAGAUUCAAAUUCAACAGGUAAUUUUGAUGGACCCUAGAGUCUGAGAGCUACCGCCUUCCAGGCUUCGGGCCUCAGUAGGGUCCGUUUCGCAUAUGGCUGCACUACACAGUGAAGCUUGAGUUGCUCAAGAAAAUGCCGGAACGAUGAGACGUUAGACACAUAUCACAAGCAUUCGUUUUAACCUUCAGAUCUCCUACCGUUUCUUAAUGUUGAUAGUCGUGGUGACAAAUAAAAUCAACUUCAGAAGGAAUUCCCUGUAAAUAUAAAAUAUAGUAACUCCUCACUCAAUCCUUUGGGCUCCAUUCAGUCCUUUCCUGGAAAAAGAUGAGGACAUCAUUUGGGAUCAUAGCCCUGCUGGCCACAGGGGAGCUUCCGAAAGCGGAGUCAUCCUACGUUCAGGGAAGGCCUUAGUCACUUCACUAGAAGUGUUCCAAUUCCUGCUGUGUAAUUGAGCUCUGUGAACAAUGGAAGGAGGACACCAGAUUAAAGAAUAUUGUCUUCUUGAUGCAGAAGACUUCACUUAUCUCUUUAAAGAAUUUACUCACGCAGGGCUAAGGGAUGGCCUGUUUCUUCCCUGUGAAUCAGUGGAGGGUUUCACUGGGAACAGAGACCCAGAUACCCCUGCGCCCCCAGGCAUGUGGAUAGGGAAGGAGGGCAGCCUGGCUCCUGGGACCACCUUGGAUCAGGGAUCCCCUCUGCUUUCCUGUCAUCAAGUCAUUAGGAAAGAGAUCCCAAGAGGUCCCUUGGAACUAGGAACUGGUGUUUAACAGCAUACAGUCUGCACAAAUAAAACACUUUCUCUCUUUCUGUCUUCCCAAAUAGCAUUUUGAAGACUUGGACAUCUAGGAAUUUAUUUGAAGGGCUUAGGAUAGAGGUCAGGUUAGCUAAUUAAGAGACUAAUUUUUUUUUUUUUUUUCUGUUUUCCACCUCUUCAAUUUGCAUCUCGGGCUAUAGCUUGGUCGUUUUCAUCCCUUGCAGUGUAUUAGAGUCAUCCAUGGAGCUUUGAGAAAUUCCAACACUCUGGUCCCAUUACUGGAGAGAGCCUGAUUCAGUUGGUCUUGGGUAGGCCUUUAGCAUCACUUUCAAAGCCCAGCAUCACGUGUUUCAAAGCUCCCAGCUGAUUCUCAGUGUAGCCAAAGUUGAGAGUCACUGCUAGUUUUAUGACAUGACAUUUACAAAAAGCCAGUUGUAUUAAAAUCAACUACCACCAAUGACAACAAAACUUCUGAUUCGACAGAUCCUAACAUUUCAGUAGUUGAGGGAGGCAUUAUUCUUGGUUUGAGAUUUUUCUGGGAAUUUGACCACAUUUCACAUUUAAAUGCCCGGGCCAGAAUUCCACGACUCAACACUCUAAAAAGACAGACAGAAGAUUUUCCAUCACGCCGUGGUGAAGCAGUAACAGCAAUACCCAAAUUCAUAUCUGCAUCCGGUUUGAAGGCAAAAUGCAGCAAGAUAUUCAGAGCGUACAAUUGCUGGUGACACCUUGUUUUUUCAAUCUGUCCGUAAAAUUUCUAACCUCAAAGCUUUAGAGAAUUUAGUCUCUGGAAAGUCCAACGAGUGUAACAAAAUCGGCUGAUGUUUUUGCGGUUAGGUUGCACUUGAUUGAUUGCGGGGACUUUCGUCUGGAGCCAAUCCGUGCCACAGAGCCAGUUGAAGCAUUCGUAUGUAGCCACAGAUGCUUAUCUCUCCUCGUAACAUCUAUGAGAGCAACAGCAGACAAGAAUGAGGCUGGAUUGGCUUCUGAGGACGGGGACCGCCUGAGACAAUAAUUCCAUCAGGAAUAUCUGAUGUCAUGAAGCAAUGCGUCCGUGAUCCACUAAGAUGAACACAUUUCCGUUGCAGGAGGGAAUCAGGCUUUCUCGUUUCUCCGAACACCCGGUCCCAGGGAAGUCUGAAAUUGGUGUCCUCAAGCCCUCUCCUCACCUCUUAUUCCUUUGAGGUUUACAGAAAAUCUGUGCUACAGUUAAUAACAGAUAGAUCUAUUGUUACCUUUCAGUAAGAAGAGCAAUAUUAUUUGGAAAUAUGUUUUUGUAUCAGUUUGAAAACACACACGCAGGUGUCACCAUUUAUGCUUUGUAGUAUAAUGGUCUGCCCCUCCAUUCUUUUUCUUUCCUGGUAACUUGUGUACAUAUAUGAGCUAUUAAAGAAUGGUUACUUAUUCACUCUCAGUAGAAUAGGCAAGGCAGCAACACAGUCAGUGACCAACUCAAUAGGCAUUUAUUGGGCAAUCACUUCCUUUAAGGCACUGAGCCCAGGUCCUAUGGUUAAUACAAAAAUGCAUAAGGCCUUGACCGCUCCUCCCAGGGGCUUCUGGUCCAGUAAAGGAGAGUAAGCUGCAGAUACAAACAACCCAUGCGGAAUAGAAAGUGGCAAAUGUGAAAUACAAGGAACGUGCUGUGGGAUUUCUGAGCACAGUCAGAUCACGUCUGAGGGUGUUCUGCGGAGCGGAUGCUUUCUGCCCUGGGCUCCGAUGGAGCUUAGGGUUUGGGCAAGUAAUGGUGGGCGGGUAGAGAUGGGCUACCCCAGGCAGCGGUAGUCAUGCGAGCAAGCGGAUGGCCCUGGAAAGUGCUGAGCGGUGUCUGGACCCGUAAACUACUGUUUGGUUGUGAUGUCGAUAGAGCGCAC